rfam:Trichoderma harzianum strain T6776 Scaffolds0149.1, whole genome shotgun sequence.
GCUUCCGUAGCUCAGUUGGUUAGAGCUUCGUACUAAUACUUCAGCUUUCAGCCCAGUCUUGGUAAUGCGAAGGUCGCAGGUUCAAGCCCUGCCGGGAGCA